GCCCCUAUAGCUUAGUGGUAGAGCACCCCCUUAGUAAGCGGAAGGUCGGUAGUUCAAUCCUGCCUGGGGGCA
rfam:Phytophthora infestans T30-4 supercont1.33 genomic scaffold, whole genome shotgun sequence.